UACAAUAGACUAGGCAUUUUCAAGGGUGGUCGGCUAACCUUCUCGAGUAGGAGGUGAUGCCCUGUGGAAGUUAAAGACGCUUUGACGCUGAUGAUCUCAUUUGCGAGCUUAGUGGUUCUCAUUCUUUCACAGAAGAAGAAAUAGACCUCCCUUGGGCAACCGGCCUUGGAGGUCUAUCUUCGUCACACCAUAUGCAGCUGAUCACCCUUGAAGGGCGAGCUAUUGAAAAAGACCGCAGAUGCCCCCGCAUCCGCGG
rfam:Paenibacillus sp. HGF7 contig00055, whole genome shotgun sequence.